GCCGCCUGUGACGUCGUGAGGAAGUCCACUGAACCUUAUCAUUUAGAGGAAGGAGAAGUCGUAACAAGGUUUCCGUAGGUGAACCUGCGGAAGGAUCAUUGUCGA
rnacentral:rRNA from 1 species